GGAGAGAUGGCAGAGUGGUCGAUUGCGGCGGUCUUGAAAACCGUUGAACCGCGAGGUUCCCGGGGUUCGAAUCCCUGUCUCUCCG
rnacentral:tRNA from 1 species